GUGACUAUGUACCAUGUAGAAUCUGGGAUAAACUGAUGCUAAGGUAGUUUGUUCAGGGCUUUAUCCAUGGAAACUUGUGGAGUAGCUCGGGAGCUGCAGUAGAGAAAUGUGGAGUUUGGAGCCAGUCGGUCUUGGAUUAAAUCUGGCCCUUUCAGUUGUCUUAUGGAUGACAGAAACCUGUUCCCUCCAUAGAGGCCACAGCUAAAUAUCGCUGUGGGCCUUAAAAUUAUAUGAUCUGGCAGAGGACACUGAAGUCAAGAACCCUGAGGUAGGGAGGGACAGACUGGGUGGCCCACAUCCCCAAAAGAGGCCUUCAGAGGGUGUGGGAGCUCAGUGUAGAACGGCUAUGCUGAAAUAGGACUUACAGGCAGUACUUCUGGGAGCCAGGUACAGCAGCCUGUUAAACAUGGCCUCAGAAGUCAUAUGCAUAUACAACAUACAUACACAUACAUAUACAUAUACAUCAUAUACAUAAACAUCAUAUAUAUUAUACACACAUAUAUACAUACACAUACACAUACUACAUACACAUAAUAUACAAAAUAUACAUGCAUAUAUACAUAUGCAUAUACACAAACAUAUACAUCAUAUACAUUACACACAUAUACAUAUAUGUACACAUACACAUACCACAUACACAUACAUAUACAAAAUAUACAUACAUAUAUAUACAUAUAAACAUGUAUAUACAUCAUAUACAGUAUACAUAUGCAUAUACACAUAUAUCAUAUGCAUAUACAUAUACACAUACACAUACAUCAUAUGCAUAUGCAUAUACAUAUAUAUACACAUGCAUAUACACAUAUACAUACAUCAUAUACAUUAUACACAUACAGAUACAUCAUAUGCAUAUACAUAUACACAUAUACAUGCAUUAUAUGCAUAUCCAUAUGCAUGUACAUAUACAUAUACAUAUACUGGGAGAUGUUCGCUCCAGUAAAUGACACCCCAAGGGCAGAAGAAGAGAUCAGAGGGGGCUGGAAGUACACCUCUGUUGGCCCAGUGCUUGCCCAGCACCGAGGACCAGAAGUUCAAGGUCAUUCCUGGCUGCCUGUGAGUUACAGGUGAGCCUGGGCUACGUGAGGAAAGAGGGAGACAGAAAGAGGGAUGGAGAGAGGGAGAAGGAUGGAAGGAGGACAGGAAGGGGGAGAGAGAGAGAAAACUGAGAAAGAAGGAGAGGGAGACAGAGACAGAGAGGGAGAGAGGCCCAGAGGGAUAUAGAGAGAGACAGACACAGAGAGACAGAGAUGAAGAGAAACACAGAAAGGGAGAGAUAGAGAAAGACAAAGAUGGAGACAGACAGACAGAGACAGGGGGAGAGGAAGAGAGAGACGGGGGAGAGGUGGGGGAAGGAGAGAGAGAAAGAGAAAAAGAGGGAGAGAAAGGGGGAGAGAGGGAGGAAGAGACAGAGAGAGGCAGAGAAAGAGAGAGGAGAUGUAAGAGUAAAGGGAGAGACAGAGGGGAGGGAGGGAAAGAAGAGAAGGAGAGAGACAGAGGAAGGGGGACGGGGAGGGAGGGAUGACACGGCCAGUCUAAACCAGUGUGUGGCAAGCAGCUAGGGUUGCCCUUAAACCCUUUUGUCAGAAUUAACUGCCUUUAUCCCUCCUAGAGGAGAUGCCCCCAUGACCUGUACACUUCUCCAGCCCCACCCUCACCACACUAAAGACCAAGGGCUCACCCCAUGGGUAACUGGAACACCCCAUGCCCUCUCCACACCACAGCUGCGAAGAAUGGGCUUCUGGAACUCCUGGAGGAGCCCGGCCCCUUCUCCCUAGCUCACUCCAGAACUCUGCCACUGUCUGCUCGUGUGCGUGUGUGUGUGCGCGCGCGCGUGCGUGUGUGCGUGCAUGUGUGCAUGUGUAUGGAGGCCAGAGGUUGACUUUGGGUGUCUUCCUCAGUGGCUCUCCACCUUUCUUUUUGACACAUUAUUGCUCAGUGAACCGAAGACAUGAAUGGCUUAGGAAGGCAGCCCAGAGGGCCCCAUGAUCCACUUGUCUCCAUGCCAACCUCAGCACUUGGGUUCCGGGUGUGUGCCCUACCUCCGACUUUUUUUUGCGGGCGCUGGGGGUAAAACUCAGGCCCCCACAUUGCACAGCAAGCAUUUUACCCACGUGUGACAUCUUCACCCCCUAAGCUGUUGGUGGUUUGUUACCACAGCCACGGGGUUCACAGGACGUCCCCAAUGGAGGUGGCUUGGGCUGGGCGUUCCGGUGUUCCAUUCAUGAGGUGGGUGGUCUUGUCUUCCGGGGACUGUUGGAACAGAUACAUGACUGUCAUUAAACCCUCACUAGGUACGGAGGCCCCACCUCCUUCAUUGCUUGGCUUCCAAUAGAUACAUUAUUCCUGUGUCUCAUGGGAGCCAAGGCCCAGUUUGCCUCCCUGCCUUUCCUGGGGGCUAGCUCCCCCAUGCCCAAGGGACUCAGUCACCAGUGUCUGGACAGAGCCCCCAAUUCUGUCAUCACCCCAGAUAGACAAGGCAGCUCCCCCUGGUGCUCUAGAAGCCUAUUCUUGGCCGCUGUGACUUGGAGGUGAGUAGGAGUGCCUGCCAGUUGCUCAUGUGGUGACUUGGUCCCUAGUGUUGAAAAGAGGUAGAACCAGAGAGGGGUGUACGUCCUUGGAGGUUGAUUCCUACCCUCAGUUUCUCCACUGGGGCUCCAGAUGCAAUCUUAGUACCCUUCUGGGGUGCUGCUAUAGGACCAUAGGCAGGGGCACUGACAAAUGUCAGUGGGCAAACCUUUCCUUGGUGCAGUGAGCUUCCAUUUCGGCGAUGCACACCGUAGGAUAAACUCAGGGGCACACCACAUGUGGCCAGCAGCCCUGGGCUGCCCCUGGUUCCCUGCUGCAGAUCCACCUGCUGCUCCCUUCCACUGACAGUCCAGAGGAUCUAAAGGGUUUCAAACCUGCCCGGACGCAGGAACAGGAUAACGCUGGUCCCCACAUCAGACUAGCAUAGGAUCUGUGCACAGGAUCUAAUAAUCAGUGUUAGCUGUCGGGGAUGAGGGUGCUGCCUGCCUUGUGAGUGCUUGCUGCUUUUCCGGGAUCUAUGAUAGUUUCUGGGACACAGCGGAUGGUCAGCACACGUUUCUUGGUGAUUUGGGGUAUGAUUCAUGCUUAGGAACAUGGCAAAAUCUCUUUGUGUGUAUGCAAGAUUGCAAGAUUAUCCAAAUCGCCCCAUUCCCCCCUAAAUACACAUUAUACGAUUGAAGAAAGAGUUAAAACAAAGAGGUUGGUGAGAUCUGGAGCUGCUGACUUCAGGUGAUUUUAUUUCUGGCUCCUCAGUUAUUGGUCUUUCCUAACACUUAUUCAAUAAAUAGAUUGUGUUUGAAAUAAAUAAGAAAACGAUGCAGGGUUUAUUUGGGAGCCCGUGACAUUGUUAUGUGGGGCAGUGAUCGUAAGACCCUGCAAGUGCUUAUGGUGCCCGCUCUUCUACACCCAGCUCUCAGCAGCCUCACCACCACACAUGGCUUGGGUUCUGAGGGGGCCGCACACAGCCCCCCAAAUCUGGCUAUGGAUGACAUUCUGACAGCCACAGCCAAGCUGUAGGACCAAGGUGUCAACCUGGAAUGGUAGCCCACGAGCAAGUGAAACAGGCUCAGCUCUUUCAGUGACAGCCUCUCCCCCUCCAUCCCAUGCUGAUGGACUACCUCCCUGACCACAGUCUGCCAAAUACCCUCCAACGGCAGAAGUGGGAACAAAGGCCCCUGAAGUCUUUGAGGGUCCUCCAUGGCUCGUAGGACACAAAUGACUGUACCUGAGAAAGGUUCCGCUGUAUAUGGUAUUCACUGCGUAUAUGCUUAGAAGACAUCCUGGGGGUGGUCUUAAACCAGAUACACAGAGUUAGCUGCUUCUUAAGGCAAUUACAGUUAUAAGACAAGAAGAGGGCAUGGAGUUGCUGUGUGUGCUGGAGACAGAGGACGCUGGAUGUGCCCUGGUCCUAUACAGUGUAAAGGUAUUUCCGUCAUUCAUAGGUAAAGCCUACUAAGAUAUGGGGAAUCUCAACAGGGCUGCCUUCUUCCCUCUUUCUGUUUCUUCCACCUUGGCACUUGAUGUUCAGAGAAAGCUCUCAGACUGGUGUCUGAACAUGCCGCCAUACCCAGGCCCAUUUGAAGGACACACUGAAGACAAGGCCCCUGGAAGCCUCCUGCCUCACCUUGUCCACAUCUUAACCAUGUUUCUGGGUUGUAUCAAGAAGCCAGGCAUCUGUGGCCAGGACACCUACAUAUGUGUGUCUCUGGACUUUUAGCAGAUUCUGGAAUUCAAGGAACUUAUUCAGCUCCUGACUUAAAUCCAUGUUUGGGACAGUGCCCCCCUCUGCUCAGUGUUUUCUAGAAACCACUUAUUUCUGGGAGGUGGGUGACCACUUCCCACACAGGCCCCAGAUACCUAGAUCCUUUCCCUUGUAUUGAUGAUCAAUUGAUGAUUGAUUGAUAAUUGUCUGCUGGCCUCAGACUCCAAGUUGUCCUACUUCGGUGCCACCGUGCCUGGCUACCAAUGUGUUUUCUGUGUGCUGUAGGAGCAAUGCAUGCUGUGUCCCUGGUGGCUUCUUCAUGCCCUAUUACUACCUGAUACCGUAGAAAACCUUGGGUGACAGUCAAAGGCAACGGACUCUGUAACAUUCACCCAGGCCCCAGGUGAGGCUAGGAGGCCAUGCCAAUGUCUGUAGCCCCAGGAAACCCCUUAGCAGAGGGGAGUCUCCUGUCCCCUGGAGGAAGAAACCAUCUCUAUCAAUACUGGGGAAUGAACUGGGGAUGUCACCCACUGAGCUGGUGCUCCCCGGGUGAGGUAUCUCCGCAGCAGUCUCCUUUUGCUCCAUGGCAACACUGCACUGAGUGAUCCGAGGACCUCAUAGAAGAGUCAGGAUGGAGGCAGGUGGUGCUUCUCCCUUCUGGGACAAGAAAAGGUGCAAGGUGGGUGGCUUUCCUUCUGAAUUUCAGUACCUGUACCUCUCGAUUAGUCAUUUCUUGUGUGCUAGGCCCAGAACGCCCCAUCACCAGCGCCUGACAUAUUAGAGCUGAAAUGAAUCUUGUUCUCACGACAGAGGACAUGCUAUAUGUUCCCAAGACUCUGGUUGGGGUGGGAAGACAGGGAUACAGGAGCUCAGAGAGGCAGAGACCUUGUAGGGAAGUUUGUCACUGCACAUAAACACUGGUCAUUGGUACAGUGUCAGCUCACAUGGUCCAUGUCCUCAGAAUCCCCUCACCAGCCCCUGAAGCAGGAGGCAGAUCUACCCUCCCACAGGCUGCCAGAAGGAAGGAGUGAAUGGCUAGACUUACCCAUACACUGUCAGAGGUCUAGAUACAUCCUAGAGUUCUGGAGUAAGGAGGCAUCAGAGGCAGCCCCUUCCUCCUUCUCCAAUCUGCAGGAGAGCCCAACUGACUCCCUAAAGAGGAGCUCCAAUCAGCCUGUGCUUCUGACUCCAUUAGCAGAUGAGGUUACGGAAUGACCAGCUUAAAUGCUCUUGGUCACUCAGUGGCCCUGGUGCAGAACAGGGCUCUAUGUUUUGUCUCCAAGGGUGCCACAGCCUCCAGUCUUGCACAGCAGUGGCUGUGGUAUGUCUUUGUUACGUUGUGCAGCGUCAGAUGCAUAAUAACUACUCAGUCUCCUAGCUCCCUAUGCAUGAUGGGUAGGGAAAUGAAUGCAAAUGUCAUGAUACAAUACAAAGACACAUCCUUAGCUCUUGCUUGGCUGUCUUGGAGUUGGAGGGUGCAGGGCUUCUCAAAGAAUCUCUAGGGAGUCUGGGAACCUCAGAACCAAAGAUCAUUUCUAUAAAUUCAAAGAAAUGGUGGGUAGUUGACAAGAGCCUACAUAGGUACCUGAGUGUGUGCGUGUGUGUGUGUGUGUGUAUGUGUGUGCGUGUGUGUGUGUGCAUUUAUGUGUGUGUGUAUAUGUGUAUGUGUGUGCAUGUGUGUGUAUGUGCAUAUAUAUGUGUGUGUAUGUGUAUAUGUGUGUAUGUGUAUGUGUGUGCAUAUGUGUAUGUAGUGUGCAUGUGUGUGUAUAUAUGUGCAUGUGUAUGUGUAUGUGUGCAUGUGUCUGUAUCAUAUAUUUAAACUGAUAGCAUACCAUGUCCUUUUCUUAUUCCCCGAUGACCAGCCCCAUUAGAACAAAGACCUUCCCUUUGUCCCUUACCCCAGCUCACUGUGCAGGUGUGAUGGGUUCAUUCUCUGACCUCCCACAGCCAGAAGGACAGGCAGCCUGUGGCCCAACAGCUGGGAGUUGGGAGAUCCAGAGAAGCAGACAGUGCCAGCCCAAACCUCUGGCCCAAGGUGGGAGACCAGGAGGGGUUGGAUGCCUAUUUAUCUUUGCUUCUUUCAUGGACUGGAAGGUUCUGGCACGAGCUGGGAUGAGGCCAUUUACACAUAAGGAGAUAGAUGCCACUGUGCCUCAGGGAGAGAGGGGCCUGGGAACUCACCAGCCUCUGUAGUGGAUGCCCUACCAAGGAUACCUCAUAGGAUCCCGGGACAGCCAGACAAUUAAGACGGUUGAUUUCAUAACUCAACGGCUAGCUAUUUUUUGCUUAUAAUGAAUUGCAGUUCAAAACACCGAUAGAAAGUUGCAUAUUAAAAUCAUAGGCUGGUUCCUUUAAAGACACAGGGAGCACAACUCAGGGCAAAUGGAGCCACACAUGGGCCACAGGGAGGAAGGACGGCAGCUGGAGAAGCGUGUUCUCCCUUUGCGCAGGCUCAAUGCGUUGGUGGCCUUCAGGCCUCACCUGCCCCAGGAGGGGGCAUGUGUGCCUUCCUCAUCCAUCUUCUUACAUUUAGUAGAUCCCUGCUGUGUGUGCUGGGCCUGGCCCCUGGGACACAUCAAUGGACCAGAAAAGGCCUUGCCCUACGGAUCUCCUGAUGGAGCAGAGGAACGGGGUCAGGAGAUGACUAUGGACUGUGACACACGUCUCACAGACUCCAAGGUUGUGCUGGAGGAAAUCACAGAGAAGGGGCUGGAGGAGGGAGGUGGGCAGUGUGGAUAACACAGGCCUCCCAAGAAGGUGAGUUCACGCUGGGCCCUGGGGAAGAAGGAAGAGUAGACAGACAGCCAGGACAUAACAAGGCCGCCCCUAGGAAGGGCCAAAGAGGAAUGUGAGAGAGGCAUGAGAAGUGAGGGAGCUCUGAGCUUUGUUCUGGGCACAGGGAGGUGGUUUUGUCUAAAUUAGGUUUUCAGCAAAAAUUGAUCCGAUCCUUAAAAAGGGCCAGAGUUGGGGACAGACGCUGCAGGCAGGUGAAGGUGACAGUGGCCUUGCUUGAGGCUGUUGAAACUGGGAGCGGAGCAGUGGUCAGCUUGAGAAGUUAAGCAAGGGGCACUGAGGCAGGGCUGGGAACACUUAUGAAAUGCCUGCUGUAUACCCAGCUGGGGGGCAAGUACCAGGGAAGAGUGGCCUCAUGAUACAGUUUAGACCUUCAAUUCUUUCAUGUUAGUACCUGAAAGGACAAAGGUUGGCUUCUGUGGAUGUAGAUUUUAGUGGGGAUGGGGUGGGAGCAGGAAACAGGGCAGGAGACCAGAUCACCCUCCUUUGUGGAAUAACAUGGAAGGAUGUGAUCAAGACUGUGUGCCUACUAUGUGCUUGCUGUAGCCAGUAGUCACACACUGACCUCCUGGUUACCCUGUUUCAGAUGGGGAAUGGUCAUCAGGACAGGAGAGGCUGGGGCAUAACAGGCUGGGAGCCAGCAGAAAGGGCAUUUGAAUGGAGUCUGUAAAACUCCGGGCUGGGACUGUGAUGGAGACCCUGCACCUCUAGCUAUCUUUGCAGAUGAGGAUUGUGCUGGUAACCAGGCCCACCUGGAGGACUUAGAGAAUAAAAGUGACUUGUGCAGGGUUACAUAGUGUUUCUGGGCCCUUCUGAUACUGUAGCAGAUAAUUGUAUCAUUGUAUCUUAGUCCAGAACUAGCUGGGAUGGCGUAAUUUGUCAGCUCCCAUUUACUCUGAGGAGUUUCCAAGUCCCCUCUCUGGGCUAUGGCAGGGGACCUGGUGAUCCUUGGAUCUAGUUCUGUUCUAUCUCCCAUUGCUGGGAGGGGCGGUUUUUUUUUUCCUUGUAUUAGUUUCUGGCUGGGAUCCUUAGGGGAAAAAACACCAACAAGCCACACAAGUGGAUUUAUUUAACUCACCUUAAGUGACAGCCUGCAGAAGGAAAUCCAAAAGACAGGGUACCUGCUCCUGCAUUCUAAGGCUCAGUGAUCUAAGAACCACCCAGAGGACUCAUGGCUGGUACCAGACCUGGAAUUAAUUCACUGGGGACUUGGCCUGUCUAGCAUGUUUUCUUGUGGCCUCAGGGCUGAAGGUCUGCUGCUGAGAGUGUGCUUGGUGCCCGCUCACCCAGGGAUAGCCUCUUUGCUUCAGAGGGUGAGGGAAAGAGGAAGGUAAGUAACCAUAGGGUCUCAUCUCUGUUAUUCUGGGGUCACACAUCCUGAACCCCAUCUCUAAGAGGUGGCAUUUGGCAGGGAAACUGCCUCUGACCUGCCACCCGAGACACAUUUGUUUGGGUCCCUAGAGUACCCCCAAGGGGUGACCUGGUGACCCAAAGCCAGACUUCCCUCAGACCUGCUUCAGCCAGGACCCUUCCUCUCCUCUGCCCUCAGUUCUUUCCCUCUGGCUCUACUAGGCUCCCCACUUUCUUCCAGGUAUGCUGUAUGUAAGCUGGUCAGGAACCUGCUGUAGUUGCAGAAAUAACCCAAUCUCUUCUUGGGAGUGGUGGGGAGACCAAAGGGGACAAUCCUAACCAGUAAGAUGAAUAUAAUGCAAAUCCAGACAGGAAAUGGCCAGUGUCUAGGGCAACAGAAUAGCUUAGCAAGCACACUUUACUCAUUCAGUCUCCUCUUCCAGUUAAAACAUGUUCAGAGACCAGAUAUCCCCUUGACUCCCCUGAGCCCAGCACCUCAUCUAAGGAAUGUGAAAAGAUCCCCUACACCUCUUGGAGGUGUAAAGAUAAGAUGGGGUGAAGGCUUGCGUGGUGGUACUCCCCCCAGGGUACGGGGUGUUCCUGGGGUGGUUGCAGCUGUGUGGCCUCAGACAAGUUGCUCACAGUCUCUGAGCCUUAGUUUUCUCAUUUGUAAAGUGAGAAGCCACUGGGGGAUCCUGGCCUGUCAUCGGGUGUAUCUCCUCAAUGUCCUGGAACAUGGCUGAAAUGGGAGGUGGGCCUUCACUCCAGCUAUUCUCAGCCUCCCAGAGUUCUCCGUGAGUGAUGCUUCCAGAUUCUCCCCCAGCGGCCUGCAGAGAUCCCUCCAGGUGCCCAGUCUGAAGCUAGUCUCCUUCUCGACCACCUCAAUGUCCCUUUGGCUUUGGGGUCCCUCUUUGGUUCUGCAUGGGGUAGCAGAGGCUGGCGGUAUAGCCUCAGCUGCUAGGAAAUCAAAUCUUGUAGAGAUGGAGUCCCAGUUUAGCAUAAACUCCCGCUCCAGCGGGAACCCAGUCUGCCCUGGCCCAACGCAGAUGGCGGCGCCCAUAGCCAAGGUACCUGGGCUCACUGCCACCCAGGAGGCAGAAUCAGUCUUUGCUCCGCUGAGGAUGCUGUGGCCAUGACACUGGCUGGGCCUCCUGCCUUCGGUUUCUGCCGCCACUUGCCCCCAACGACCGCCAUGGGCGCACAGUUAAUUAGCAGGUCCUGGAAAGCUCAUCAAUAAUAGAACCGGUGGCCGCGGCUGAUGGCUGGCACACGGUGGACAGUGAGGCCCCGGUGGCAGCGGCUGAUGGCCGGCACACGGUGGACAGCAAGGCCCCGUAAAUCAGUUUGACGGGCACUGACCAAGAAAGAGCUUCCCACAGUCCUCAGGCUGGGAAGCGCUGAGGCAGGCUGAUGGUGCCUGUUCCACCUCUGCCCCUCACUGCUCCAGCCACACCGGUCCUCCGAUAUCUCUUCCUCCUGCCAUCUGGCUCUUGUCUUUUUCCUUCAUCUCAGGUCCCAGAAAAGCAUAGCCCUUCCCCAGUCGCCACCCCACACUCUGGGAUCUUAUAGAAGGGGUUUGCUGGCCGGUUUUUGAAAUAAACUAGAGACAACUGAGAGAAGGGAAAUCUCAGUUGAAAAAAAAAUGCCUCCAUCAGAUUGGCUUGUGGAUGCACCUGUGGUAUAUUUUUCAUUAUUCUCUGAGUAUUUACUUACUGUUAUUAUUGUGUGUGGUAUGUAUAUGCUGCUGAACUUAUGUGCAGAGUUCAGAAUAUGGAGUUGGGUCCCCUCUUCCACUUUUAAGCGCUAGGCUAGGUUUGCCAAAGCGAUGCAAACCGAGACAUAACCUGGGUUCAGAGAAUCUCGAAUAAGGAGUUGCCCCCAUCAGAUUGGCCCAUGGGCAACUCUAUGGGGAGAUAAUAUUUGAUUGAUGACUGCAUCUGGAAGAUCUGCUCCACUGUGGGUGGGGCCACCCCUGGGCAGGUGGUCCUGGAUGAUAGACAAAGCAGGGUAAACAAGCCAGGGGGAGCAAGCCAGUGAGCAGCAUCCCUCCACGGCCCCUCAUCAGCUCCUGUCUCCAGGUUCCUGCCUUGGGUUCCUACUCUGGCUUUCCUUAGUGAUGGGCUGUGGCAUGGGAGUGUAAAAUGAAUUAAACCCAUCUGUCCCUAAAUUGCUCUUGGCUGUGGUGUUUAUCAUAACAGAAAGCAAAACAGGACCGAAGUCAUAUCUGUGGUCUUCAUGUGCCCUCCCAUGGCAAGAACACACACUCACACAACCAGUGCUGCCCAUGACAAUCUUCCUCCUCCUCCUCCUCCUCCUCUUCUUCUUCCUCUUCUUCUUCUUCCUUCUUCUUCUUCCUCUUCUUCUUCCUCUUCUUCUUCUUCCUCUUCUUCUUCUUCCUCUUCUUCAUCCUCCUCCCCCUCUUCUUCCUCCUCUUCCCCC